rnacentral:rRNA from 1 species
UACGGAGGGUGCGAGCGUUGUCCGGAAUCACUGGGCGUAAAGGGCGCGUAGGCGGCUCAUGAAGGCUGUGGUGAAAGUCCGGGGCUCAACCUCGGAUCGGCCGUGGCGACUCGUGGGCUGGAGCACUGUAGAGGCGGGUGGAAUUCCGGGUGUAGCGGUGGAAUGCGUAGAUAUCAGGAGGAACACCGGUGGCGAAGGCGGGUCUCUGGGCCGUAACUGACGCUGAGGAGCGAAAGCGUGGGGAGCGAACAGG